UGCUGUUGAACACUUCUGGAGAAAGUCAUAUAACCAUACCAAGUUCUCUACCUACGUUAUCUAAUUUGAUAUUCAAAACAAACAUGGGAGGAGUGCUGACAAGAGCUUUGAUAUUUCAUAUUUGCCAUCAGGUCCGUUGCAGUCAUAACCAGAUGAGGAAGUGACAACAGCUGGGCCUGCGGAAGGCCUACAAGCAAAUCCAGGUGGGAUUAGAUCUAGUAGGCGUUUUACAAAGAUUUGGCUUGAAUUGACCACUGCUCUAGCCCCCCUGAAAGACCUGAAAUUAUUUAGGGACUGCUUCCUGCCUGGGAAAGAUUUACUCUAUUUACUCAGGUAUUGAAUCCAAUCCAGCAAGCAUUUACUAAGGAUCCACUAGGUGCCAUGCACCAGGCUGGGCACUGAAGACACAAAGACAGAAUUGAAACUCCUCUACUCCCCAAGGAGUGUACACUCUCUGGGAGGAAAACAAUAUAUAAAAAAGUAAAUAAAUACAAAUUACAUGGAAA